UACGAAGGGGGCUAGCGUUGCUCGGAAUCACUGGGCGUAAAGGGUGCGUAGGCGGGUUUUUAAGCAGAGGUGAAAUCCUGGAGCUCAACUCCAGAACUGCCCUUUGAUACUGAAAGUCUUGAGUAUGGGAGAGGUGAGUGGAACUGCGAGUGUAGAGGUGAAAUUCGUAGAUAUUCGCAAGAACACCAGUGGCGAAGGCGGCUCACUGGCCCAUUACUGACGCUGAGGCACGAAAGCGUGGGGAGCAAACAGG
rnacentral:rRNA from 1 species